rnacentral:rRNA from 1 species
GACGAGGGGUGCGAGCGUUAUUCGGAAUUAUUGGGCGUAAAGGGUGUGUAGGCGGUAUGUUAAGUCAACUGUUAAAUUUUCUGGCCUAACCGGAAACAUGCGGUAGAAACUGACGUGCUGGAGGAUGGGAGAGAGAAGUGGAAUUCUCGGAGUAGCGGUAAAAUGCGUAGAUCUCGAGAGGAACACCAAUGGCGAAGGCAGCUUCUUGGCCCAUUCCUGACGCUGAGACACGAAAGCGUGGGGAGCAAACAGG